GAUGAACGCUAGCGGCAGGCUUAAUACAUGCAAGUCGAGGGACAGCACAGGUAGCAAUACUGGGUGGUAACCGGCAAACGGGUGCGGAACACGUACACAACCUUCCUUUAAGUGGGGGAUAGCCCAGAGAAAUUUGGAUUAAUACCCCGUAAUAUAGUUGAAUAGCAUCAUUUGAUUAUUAUAGCUACGGCGCUUAAUGAUGGGUGUGCGGCUGAUUAGAUAGUUGGCGGGGUAACGGCCCACCAAGUCUACGAUCAGUAGCUGAUGUGAGAGCAUGAUCAGCCACACGGGCACUGAGACACGGGCCCGACUCCUACGGGAGGCAGCAGUAAGGAAUAUUGGUCAAUGGACGCAAGUCUGAACCAGCCAUGCCGCGUGAAGGAUUAAGGUCCUCUGGAUUGUAAACUUCUUUUAUUUGGGACGAAAAAGGGCCUUUCUAGGUCAACUGACGGUACCAGAUGAAUAAGCACCGGCUAACUCCGUGCCAGCAGCCGCAGUAAGAC
rnacentral:rRNA from 1 species